GACGAACGCUGGCGGCGAGCUUAACACAUGCAAGUCGAACGGAAAGGCCCUGCUUUUGUGGGGUGCUCGAGUGGCGAACGGGUGAGUAACAUGUGAGUAACCUGCCCUUGACUUUGGGAUAACUUCAGGAAACUGGGGCUAAUACCGGAUAGGAGCUCCUGCUGCAUGGUGGGAGUUGGAAAGUUUCGGCGGUUGGGGAUGGACUCGCGGCUUAUCAGCUUGUUGGUGGGGUAGUGGCUUACCAAGGCUUUGACGGGUAGCCGGCCUGAGAGGGUGACCGGCCACAUUGGGACUGAGAUACGGCCCAGACUCCUACGGGAGGCAGCAGUGGGGAAUAUUGCACAAUGGGCGGAAGCCUGAUGCAGCAACGCCGCGUGCGGGAUGACGGCCUUCGGGUUGUAAACCGCUUUCGCCUGUGACGAAGCGUGAGUGACGGUAAUGGGUAAAGAAGCACCGGCUAACUACGUG
rnacentral:rRNA from 1 species